rnacentral:misc_RNA from 1 species
UUUCCAGAUAUAACACUAUUGCAGGGGAACCACUUCUGAGUGUUCCACCAGUAGACUAGCCAAGGCGCAUAAUGUGCAACUCGAAGUGCCCAUUGGUCCUGUGGUAGCUGUAGAUUGUAUCCUUCUGUGGAUAAAUUAGCAGGAAAACUAGGCCACCAGUAAUUGACAACAGGAGCAACUAGAGCUGCUCCAGCUAACCGAUUAGGGAUGUACUUGAGGCAACCCCAAACGGAAAGACCACCCAUGGAAUACCCCAUAACAUAAAAUUUUGGGCCAAGUCCG